ACUCAAAUGAAUUGACGGGGGCCCGCACAAGCGGUGGAGCAUGUGGUUUAAUUCGACGCAACGCGAAAAACCUUACCCAGGCUUGACAUCUAGGGGAAGAAUGCAGAGAUGCAUUCGCCGGGGCAACCCGGCUGCUAGACAGGUGCUGCAUGGUUGUCGUCAGCUCGUGCCGUGAGGUGUUAGGUUAAGUCCUGCAACGAGCGCAACCCUCAUCCUUAGUUGCCAGCGGGUUAUGCCGGGCUCUCUAAGGAAACUGUCGCUGAUAAGGCGGAGGAAGGUGGGGAUGACGUCAAAUCAGCAUGGCCCUUACGUCUGGGGCAACACACGUGCUACAAUGGGAGAUACAACGGGAAGCAAGACAGCAAUGUUAAGCCAAUCCCUUAAAAUCUUCCUCAGUUCGGAUCGUGGGCUGCAACCUGCCCACGUGAAGUCGGAAUCGCUAGUAACCGCAGAUCAGCACUGCUGCGGUGAAUACGUUCCCGGGCCUUGUACACACCGCCCGU
rnacentral:rRNA from 1 species